rnacentral:rRNA from 1 species
CUUUAUAGCUUGCUAUGAAGAAUAAUUAGUGGCAGACGGGUGAGUAAUGCAUAGGAAUCUACCUAGUAGUAUGGGAUAGCCACUAGAAAUGGUGGGUAAUACUGUAUAAUCCCUGCGGGGGAAAGAUUUAUCGCUAUUAGAUGAGCCUAUGUUAGAUUAGCUAGUUGGUAGGGUAAAGGCCUACCAAGGCGAUGAUCUAUAGCUGGUCUGAGAGGAUGAUCAGCCACACUGGAACUGAGAUACGGUCCAGACUCCUACGGGAGGCAGCAGUGGGGAAUAUUGGACAAUGGGCGCAAGCCUGAUCCAGCUAUGCCGCGUGAGUGAGGAAGGCCUUAGGGUUGUAAAACUCUUUCAGUAGGGAAGAUAAUGACGGUACCUACAGAAGAAGUCCCGGCAAACUCCGUGCCAGCAGCCGCGGUAAUACGGAGGGGGCAAGCGUUGUUCGGAAUUAUUGGGCGUAAAGGGCAUGUAGGCGGUUCGGUAAGUUAAAGGUGAAAUGCCAGGGCUUAACCCUGGAGCUGCUU